rnacentral:rRNA from 1 species
UUGAACGCUGGCGGCAUGCUUUACACAUGCAAGUCGAACGGCAGCGGGGGCUUCGGCCCGCCGGCGAGUGGCGAACGGGUGAGUAAUGCAUCGGAACGUGCCCAGUCAUGGGGGAUAACUACGCGAAAGCGUAGCUAAUACCGCAUACGCCCUGAGGGGGAAAGCGGGGGAUCGCAAGACCUCGCGUGAUUGGAGCGGCCGAUGUCGGAUUAGCUAGUUGGUGGGGUAAAGGCCUACCAAGGCGACGAUCAGUAGCGGGUCUGAGAGGAUGAUCCGUCACACUGGAACUGAGACACGGUCCAGACUCCUACGGGAGGCAGCAGUGGGGAAUUUUGGACAAUGGGGGCAACCCUGAUCCAGCCAUUCCGCGUGAGUGAAGAAGGCCUUCGGGUUGUAAAGCUCUUUCAGCAGGAACGAAACGGUGGCUACUAAUACUAGCUACUAAUGACGGUACCUGAAGAAGAAGCACCGGCUAACUACGU